ensembl:lncRNA
UUUAAUCUUUAUUUAAUCUUUGAUUAAGAUUCUUCAGAAGAACAAAGACUGUACUUUUGUCUUUUUGUAAACAUUGACUGCAUCUACCCCCAAAGUGACAGCCGUCGCCAUAGGGCAGAUAAAAAUGGGGCAUUUUCUUCUUGCUAUUCUUAGAUACUGUCAUUUAAAUGGAAACCAAGUUAAAAUAGAGAUAGUGAAUAGUUUAAGAGGCAGAUGUUGCCUUUCUUUGCUAUCUUUUACCCCAAAACUUCAGCUGUGAUCCUAAGACUGACUGGCAAUAUUGUCUACUGUCUUUUAUCAUGCUCCAAAAAGCAGUUGAUUAUCUUGGAAGGGCUUCAAAAGCAAUUAAGAAAAUCCCUUAUGUCAAGUUACAUUUCAGACAGGACAAAUUAGAUGUAUGGGGAAAUGUCCUGAUAAAGUACUCAAGAAAUAAUGAAUCUGUGUACAAUUUGUAAUUGCUCCUGCAAAGAAUUUACAACAUAAAAGAGGUUGUUAACCUGAGACUGGAAGCUCAGAGACGUUUUUUCUUUUCAUUACAAAUGCAAAUGCCUUAUGAAACUGAGCCCAGAGCAUUUUUAAAUGUCCAAAAUGUAAUUCAAAACAUUGUUUAUUACAUUUCUGUCUGGGCUCUUCACUGCAUCACAAGCUGCUUUGUAAAUGCUGAUUUUUAAGCCAGCAGGUCUGCAAUGAAAAAAUGACCCAUUUGGCUCACUAAUGUGGAGCAGAUCCUAAAGGGUGGAUCUGUGCCAGAAGGAAGGGUAAGGGUUAUCACCGAUGCCGCAAACGGGUGGUGAUGGAUGGUGAUUGAAAAGACAUUUCGUUGUUAAAUGUCCAUGAGAUUGCUGCAUUUGGUGUCCACUUUAUACAUUAAAGAUGGACAGAUGGGAUCUUCAAUCUGCAUGACCCCAUCCUUGUGACAACAGAACAGCGCAGGCUCUGUGGAGUCCAUGGAUGGCUGAUAAUUAGUCUGUGGGGACAGGCGUUGGUGGGUUGAAUGUUGGAGGCUGGAGAGUCUCAGUCACGAAUAGGCAUCAUCUAGAUAGAAUACUGUUAUCACAAUGUUGGGAAAUUCAAAUGCAAUUUCCUUUCCUUAUGAACUCUAUUCCCCUUUGAGUAAAAUGAUCUCAACUCUUCCAAACUACUUGAAUUUUAUCCUCAAUUUCCUAACUUUUGAAGUAUGGGUGUGUCCACUGCUAAUUCUUCCCCCGUGAUAAACAUUAGCAAGGGGGAAAUUAUUCUAGGGUUAUCAUACAAUAUUUAUAGACCACUUUUUAUUUGGGAAGUGUUUGAAGGUGUCUUAAAUACGAGCUGUUUCCAAAUAACCUCAGGCUCAUUUUUCAUCUUGAUCCAAAUCCCAUGGAAGCAAACCAAUCAUGAAGCUCUCUCAAAAGUCAUUGGGAGCCCCGGGCUCAGAACCCAGCUGUGGAGCGUGAACUAUUAGGUUCUGUGCUGCUGGAAGCUUGCAGUAACUGACCCACUGGGACUGGCGCUCAUUUAAGAAUCAAAGUUGAUGCUUUGUUUCCAGAAGCCUUUGCCCGAGCUGGGGAAAGUAGACUAAAUCCCUCAUAGGAGUUCAAACUGUAUAGACCUUACUUUUUACACGAUUGCUUUUGAAAUGGUUCAACAAAGUGAUGUCUCUUCUGUUUAAAGAACAGGAAACAACAACAACAACAAAGCCAGUGAAAAACAAAUGUCAGGGUAUUCCUAUCCACAGGAUGACUCUGAUUUCCAAGUUUGUCUUCAUUAACGUUCUAGUCCACUUUCAUCGGUCCCCAUCCUCUCCUGGUGAGCUUUUUCCCACUCCCAUUCCCAAAUACCAUCACAGAGACAUACAUUGAAACCUCCCCGUUAUUUCUCUUACCUUGAUCUGCCUUGCUCUGACUUACAACUUGAUCGUAUUCCUUUCUCUCUCUCAUCAAAGUAUGUUUGUCCUGAUUCUCUCCAGAGUCAGCAUUUGACAUAGUAAUAAUAAUGUUACUAAGUACAUGUCUAGAUGCUCUACUUGUAUAAAUCCAUUUAUGCUCAAAACAACCCUCAGGUAGUUGCUAUUCUUGUGCUUGUUUACAGAUGGAGGAAUGGGAGGCACAGUGUUGAUAAGCGUGUUGUUUACGUCUCACAGCUGGCAAGUGGUGGAGUCAGGAUUCAGGCUCAGAACUUUGAUAUUUCACUUUACACGUGCUCGUUGAUGUGAUCUUCAGGAAAUGUUUGGAAUGAAGAAAUGAAGGGGAGCAGCACCCACCUGCAUCUGGGUCAAGAAAGAUAAAGACUGAGGAACUGUCCCAGAUUGGAGGAGCCUAAGGAGACAUGAAGCAUAAAUGCAAUGUGGGAUCCUGGACCAGAAAAAAAGACAAUUGGCAAAAUUUGAAUCAAGUCUGUAGAUUAAGCCCCAUGGCGGAGUGAUUAAGUUCACUCGCUGCGCUUCACCGGUUUGGAUCCUGGGUGGGGACCUACACACCGCUCAUCAAGCCAUGCUGUGGCAAUGUCCAACGUAGAACUAGAGUGACCUACAACUGGGAUGCACAACUAUGUGCUGGGGCUUUGGGGAGAAAAAAAAAAAAGGAAGAUUGGCAAUAGAUGUUAGCUCAGGGCCAAUCAUCCUCACCAAAAAAAAGCAUACUUCAG